CCAAGCAACACUGUCGUCACAGCAGAAAGGAACAUCAAGCAGAAUUCACCCAGCACUGACAGAGGGAAGAUUUAGACCAGCCCUAACCAGAGAGUAAUAGCCCAUCCCAGCAGUCAAAACCUGAAUUCCAGCAAGUCCUGCCACCAUGAGCCUCCAGACUCUAGAAAGUCCCAGUCAACAAGAAGACCCUCACCAGACGUGGCUCCCCUGAACUUGGACUUCUCAGCCUCCGUAACUGUUCAUCCCAACUUAGCGUGUUUAAUAGCCUCAGCCUCACUGUCGGCCUUGCCUUCAAACCUGACACCCAGUGGCUCAGGAUGGUUGCAAAGCUUCCACAACCCGCCCCCCACCCUCCACCUGCAUUCCAAGAUUCCUUGAAGACCAACUUUAAGGGCACUCGUGACAGGUGGCAGUUAAACAGUAAGAAAGCAUCUGGCAUAAAUUAAGUGAACAGAUCACCAAAUCAUCUGGAAAACAACUGAGCACGCCAAGAUCCAAGGAAGGAGCCCAGAGCAGACUGCACAGCAUGCCCUGUGCCCCAACCACACUGCUUCCUCUUCCGAAUCUCUGCACCCCCAAGUCUGGUUCAGUUUUGAGUUUCAGGCAUGGUCUCAUCCCUUUGGCACUUCUUUAUUCCAACCAAAAGUUCUCAGCUUCAAAAAAAAGAUGAGCAUGUUCAAUGACGAGAAAGUCUGUUUGAUGGUAAUCUGUAAAUUUGCCACAUAAAGCAUAAACCUUACCACAUAAAGCUUAAAGGAACACCCACUGAAUUCCAACUGCUGAAAGUUGUCCUGCCCUUUCCUUAUGGUCUCCAAAGACAAGCUUGUUUUAUGUCACAAAAAUCUCCCCUUUCUAUGGGCCAGAUUCAAUUUGUCACUACUUGGAUAUUGAACACUUUUUGCAAAUUAAAGAGAAAGUCACCUCAGGCAACUUUCAAGUAGAGGCUUAUUGGGGACUUGAUGAUACUGCAAAUCAUUAAAGAACUUAGGUUCUGUACCCCUGCCCUCACUGAUCAAAUAGAGGCCACUGCUUUGAAGCCAGCAAGGACCCAUGGGACUGACUUAAUGCUUUUUGCCUUCAGCUUCUGAAGCUUAUCACAUUACUAAUGUUUGAGUCUCUAAUCCAGCUGGCUAGUUUAAUCAUCUUGAAGUAAAAUAAUACUAUUAACAUUGUUAGAAAUGAUUUAUUUUUCUCUGUGCUCUUACCCUCUGCUUGAUUCAUUCAUUUUAUUUAUAAUUUUGCAAUUACAAGUUUUCUUCUCAGAAUCCUUCUCUUUCCCAUUGUUAAAAGUAAAGACUAUAUCAUCCUCUUUCUUUUAUAAUCUGUUGCUAUGGAAAUAGGGAUUAAUGAUCCAGGGAUAAUAAAGAAAGAAAAAA